rnacentral:rRNA from 1 species
AGCGUAGACGGUGUGGCAAGUCUGAUGUGAAAGGCAUGGGCUCAACCUGUGGACUGCAUUGGAAACUGUCAUACUUGAGUGCCGGAGGGGUAAGCGGAAUUCCUAGUGUAACGGUGAAAUGCGUAGAUAUUAGGAGGAACACCAGUGGCGAAGGCGGCUUACUGGACGGUAACUGACGUUGAGGCCCGAAAGCGUGGGGAGCAAACA